rnacentral:rRNA from 1 species
ACGGAGGGUGCAAGCGUUAUUCGGAAUGACUGGGCGUAAAGGGCGUGCAGGCGGGUGAGUAAGUCUGAUGUGAAAGCCCGGGGCUUAAACCCGGAAGGGCAUUGGAAACUGCUUGUCUUGAGUGCGGGAGAGGAAGGGAGAAUUCCCGGUGUAGAGGUGAAAUGCGUAGAGAUCGGGAGGAACAUCAGUGGCGAAGGCGACCUUCUGGGCAGCAACUGACGCUGAGGCGCGAAAGCGUGGGGAGCAAACAG